CCCUUAGAGUUUGAUCCUGGCUCAGAACGAACGUUGGCGGCGUGGAUUAGGCAUGCAAGUCGAACGAAUCCUAUCUGGGUAACUGGGUAGGGAAAGUGGCGAAAGGGGCAGUAAGGCAUGGAUAACUUGCCCCGGAGUCUGGAAUAGCCAUCCUAACGGAUGGGUAAUACUGGAUGCCGUGUCGAGGGGGCAUCUUCUUGACACGAAAGUUUCGACGCUCCGGGAGAGGUUCAUGUGGUAUUAGCUAGUUGGUGAGGUAACGGCUCACCAAGGCCAAGAUGCCUAGCAGGUGUGAGAGCACGACCUGCGUCACUGGCACUGGGACACUGGCCAGACUCCUACGGGAGGCUGCAGUCGAGGAUCUUCGGCAAUGGGCGAAAGCCUGACCGAGCGACGCCGCGUGUGCGAUGAAGGCCUUCGGGUUGUAAAGCACUGUCGAGGGAGAGAAAAGGGUAACCUUGAUCGAUCUCUGGAGGAAGCACGGGCUAAGUUCGUGCCAGCAGCCGCGGUAAGACGAACCGUGCGAACGUUGUUCGGAAUAACUGGGCUUAAAGGGUGCGUAGGCGGGCUCAAAAGUCAGGGGUGAAAUCCCACGGCUCAACCGUGGAAGUGCCUUUGAUACUGUGAGUCUAGAGGGAGGUAGGGGCGUGCGGAACUUCCGGUGGAGCGGUGAAAUGCGUAGAUAUCGGAAGGAACACCGGUGGCGAAAGCGGCGCGCUGGACCUCAACUGACGCUGAGGCACGAAAGCCAGGGGAACAAACGGGAUAGAUACCCCGGUAGUCCUGGCCCUAAACGAUGGGUGCUAGGUAGUGGACUGACAUGGGUUCACUGCCGAAGCAAAAGUGAUAAGUACCCCGCCUGGGGAGUAUGGUCGCAAGGCUGAAACUCAAAGGAAUUGACGGGGGCUCACACAAGCGGUGGAGCAUGUGGCUUAAUUCGAGGCUACGCGAAGAACCUUAUCCUGGACUUGACAUAUGCGAAAGCGGUAGGAAGUAGCCCGCGGAAACGUGGGGCCAACGGUAUCCAGUCCGGAACCUACUACAGGUGCUGCAUGGCUGUCGUCAGCUCGUGUCGUGAGAUGUCGGGUUAAGUCCCAUAACGAGCGCAACCCCUGUCUUCAGUUGCCAGCGAGUAAUGUCGGGGACUCUGAAGAGACUGCCGGUGUUAAACCGGAGGAAGGUGGGGAUGACGUCAAGUCCUCAUGGCCUUUAUGUCCAGGGCUGCACACGUGCUACAAUGGCGUACACAGAGGGAAGCCAACUCGUGAGAGGGAGCUAAUCUCAAAAAAUACGCCUCAGUUCAGAUUGAAGGCUGCAACUCGCCUUCAUGAAGUUGGAAUCGCUAGUAAUCGCGGGUCAGCAACACCGCGGUGAAUGUGUUCCUGAGCCUUGUACGCACCGCCCGUCAAGCCACGAAAGAGAGGGGGGGGCCAAGUCGCCGUGCUAACCGCAAGGAAGCAAGCGCCUAACCUCCAACUCUUGAUUGGGACUAAGUCGUAACAAGGUAACCAAGGG
rnacentral:rRNA from 1 species